GCCAGCAGCCAUAUCACUUUGCAACUCAACUGGCAACCCACUGAAGCUAAGCAGGUGUGAGCCUGGUUAGUACCUGGAUGGGAGACCUCCUGGGAAAAACUAAGGCUGCUGCUGGAA
rfam:Lepisosteus oculatus linkage group LG15, whole genome shotgun sequence.